AAGAGUCUGCCAUACAAAACUAAGUCUAUCCUCCCUCGCGGAAUCCGCCCACGUUGUCCCUGUAACAAACGCUCUCUUUUGUUUCCUGUUUGGGGUCGGCAAUUUUAUAGAUAGCUUCUACCUGCUUCUUUCCUCUUUCUGCACGAUUUGUCCAUCAUGCAACAGGCACCCUCGGACUGCGUUGCCAGCUUCAAGCUGAUCUUGGUCGGCGACGGUGGCACGGGUAAGACGACUUUCGUGAAGCGUCACCUGACCGGCGAGUUCGAGAAGCGCUACGUCGCCACCGUUGGUGUCGAUGUGCACCCGCUGACCUUCCACACGAACCGUGGCAAGAUCUGCUUCAACUGCUGGGAUACUGCCGGCCAGGAGAAGUUCGGUGGUCUGCGCGAUGGCUACUACGUGGAAGGCCAGUGCGCCAUCAUUAUGUUUGAUGUCACGAGCCGCAACACGUACAAGAACGUGCCGAACUGGUACCGCGACAUCACGCGCGUGUGCGACAACAUUCCCAUCGUCUUGGUAGGCAACAAGGUAGACUGCGCGGACCGUCAGGUGAAGGCGAAGAUGAUCACCUUCCACCGCAAGAAGGGGCUGCAGUACUACGAUAUCUCGGCCAAGUCCAACUACAACUUUGAGAAACCGUUCGUGUGGCUGGCGAAGAAGCUGGCCAACGAUCCUGAGCUGAUGCUGGUGGAGGUGCCGAUGCUGGACACAGAUGUGGUUGCUCUUACGGCAGAGCAGGUGGCCGCGCUGGAGGCGGAGCAGCAGGCCAUGGCGAACGCGCCGCUGCCCAUGGGCGAUGACGAGUGAGACCCGGCCGCUGUCGUUCUUUGUCCUCCCCUCCUCUUAGCGUGCAUGCGCGCCUUGCUCACUCGCGCGCGCUUUCUCUUCGCUCUCUCUAAUGGAUUUUGCUCGUCAGCGCUCAAACUUCCUGCGCAUGUGUUGAACGGCCUCUCUGUCUGUCUGUCUUUUUUUUUUGUGUCUGUGUUUCUUUCUUUUUUUUUGUUUGCCCGUCCGAAGCCGCCCCUGCCCCCCUCCUCCAACAACGACAGAGACCGGAACAACAACAAAGGAAAAAGAGACGGAGGCGAAGGGAGAAGCGAAACGCGGGCACACACGCGCAUGGAAAGUGCAUGCAACGGAGACGAAAAAGGGAGGACGAGCAAGACACGCACGCACACGUUUUUUUCUUGGCAGGAAGUGAUGCUCAUGCCCCCUUCUGUCUCUGUCUGUCUCCUUUUUAGUGGUGGUGGGGGUUCUGUGUCACUUGUGCUUUUUAUUUUCUUCUAUGCGUUUGUGGCGGCGUGGGCGCGUGUGCGUGUCUCUUUUUCGCGCUGUGCUCAUAUAUAUAUGCGCUCUAAGGGAACUCAGGCCACCUACAUGUGUAUGUGUGUGUUCUGGAUCGUGAAUGAGCUUCAUGGUGCGGCCCCUUCGAAGUUUGUGGCAGCUCAACACAGUGCGAGAAGAGAGGAGCGGCUCGACCUUUUUUUUUUCUCCUCACGCACAACCUCCCUAGGUUGUUGCCUUCGCGUGGUGGAACUCACGCUCAACUGCGGCGCUCCCUCUUGCGCAUCGUGUUGCUGCUCUUUCGAAGGCGAAUGCAUACGCGUCGGCUACUCGAAAUACGAUCAGAGCGAAGAUGCAGAGAAGGUUUGUAAGUGGAAGAGUAUAAGACUGUGUAGGAGGCAGGCGACACGGAUAGGUAAGGCUUGGUCAUUCCCCCCUUUCCAAGUAUCUCUACUAAAACCGCCGCUGAUGCCCCCCCCCCCUCCCCCCAUCCCUAUGACGCACCGGGUCAUAGGACUCUACAUGAUCGCCCACACUCGCAUCUGCACCGACGUGCACGUGGAGCCUGACAGAUAACAGAUAAGGUGAAAGAAACAAAGGAAUAUUUAAAAAUGGCAACACAAAGGACCAAAAAAAAACUAGAAGAGAAACGGCCUGCACAUUUCACGCUGGCAAGAUGUGGAGGGGGAGGGCAAGUCGGUGGCGUCGCUCGAUGCAUCGCGUAUCUUCUCCAGCAGCUGCUCUUGCCAUUGCUCAUUUUUUUUUCUGGUUUUGAUCGAAGGCGCGAGCACGAGUGGGAGUCUCUGCACUCUGCGCACGCGAGGGUUCUCUCUUUUAUGCCGCGGCACGUCGUCACCUG
rnacentral:misc_RNA from 1 species